AACUUUCAACAACGGAUCUCUUGGCUCUCGCAUCGAUGAAGAACGCAGCGAAAUGCGAUAAGUAAUGUGAAUUGCAGAAUUCAGUGAAUCAUCGAAUCUUUGAACGCACCUUGCGCCUUUUGGUAUUCCGAAAGGCAUGCCUGUUUGAGUGUCAUGAAA
rnacentral:rRNA from 3 species